CAGUAGCCGCGGGAAUACCGAGGGUGCAAGCGUUAAUCGGAAUUACUGGGCGUAAAGCGCGCGUAGGUGGUUUGUUAAGUUGGAUGUGAAAGCCCCGGGCUCAACCUGGGAACUGCAUCCAAAACUGGCAAGCUAGAGUACGGUAGAGGGUGGUGGAAUUUCCUGUGUAACGGUGAAAUGCGUAGAUAUAGGAAGGAACACCAGUGGCGAAGGCGACCACCUGGACUGAUACUGACACUGAGGUGCGAAAGCGUGGGGAGCAAACAGGAUUAGAUACCCCCGUAGUCCCUGUCUCUUAUAA
rnacentral:rRNA from 1 species